GCGAAGAAGAAUUUUGACCAAUCACAGCGCCCAGUACGAUCCCAGCAAGCGAAGAAGGAUUUUGACCAAUCACUGUGCCCGAUAUCAUCUAAUCAAGCAAAGAAGAAUUCUGACCAAUCACAGCGCUUGAUGCAAUCCCAUCCAUAAGUGUCACUCGAUCGCAACAGUGGCGCUCGGGUUCGUUUCGGACGCGAUGCACCGCAUUGAUGAGCUGCUUGUUGACAUCUCGGCUCCGUCGACGCUGCACGGCGGCGGCGGCCAAUUUUCACCAGGACGCGAGAAGAAAGCGAGGGGAGGCGUCGAUGAGCAGGAGGAAGAGGAGGAGGAGGAAGAGGAGGGGGGCGGAGGUGAGUACAAGCGAGGACCCGCCAAGAACAGAUUAGCGUAGCCGAGAUAGCCCGCUGGGAUCGAUGCAACUUAUCUGCCGCGCCGGUCCGGCUUUGUUGAUGACACCUGAAGCUUGCGCAUCCGGCUCACCUUUGUCCCGCUUCGCCGCGCCAGGAAUGCCAAGCACGAUGACGAGCAACGGCAAACUCGUGUCCCAAGUAUGCGCGACGGUCGCGAGUCGC